UACGUAGGGGGGCAAGCGUUGUCCGGAAUCAUUGGGCGUAAAGAGCGCGUAGGCGGUCCGGUAAGUCGGUUGUGAAAACUGGGGGGCUCAACCCUCAGAGGCCGACCGAUACUGUCGGGCUAGAGUCCGGAAGAGGCGAGUGGAAUUCCUGGUGUAGCGGUGAAAUGCGCAGAUAUCAGGAGGAACACCAAUGGCGAAGGCAGCUCGCUGGGACGGUACUGACGCUGAGGCGCGAAAGCGUGGGGGGAGCAAAACAGG
rnacentral:rRNA from 1 species